GAUGAACGCUGGCGGCGUGCCUAAUACAUGCAAGUAGAACGCUGAAGGAGGAGCUUGCUCUUCUGGAUGAGUUGCGAACGGGUGAGUAACGCGUAGGUAACCUGCCUGGUAGCGGGGGAUAACUAUUGGAAACGAUAGCUAAUACCGCAUGACAACAGUUAUUGCAUGAUAACUGUUUAAAAGGGGCAACUGCUCCACUACCAGAUGGACCUGAGUUGUAUUAGCUAGUUGGUGAGGUAACGGCUCACCAAGGCGACGAUACAUAGCCGACCUGAGAGGGGGAUCGGCCACACUGGGACUGAGACACGCCCCAGACUCCUACGGGAGGCAGCAGUAGGGAAUCUUCGGCAAUUGACGGAAGUCUGACCGAGCAACGCCGCGUGAGUGAAGAAGGUUUUCGGAUCGUAAAGCUCUGUUGUAAGGGAAGAACGAGUGUGAGAGUGGAAAGUUCACACUGUGACGGUAUCUUACCAGAAAGGGACGGCUAACUACGUG
rnacentral:rRNA from 1 species